GCGGGUAUAGUUUAGUGGCAAAACGGCAGCUUCCCAAGCUUCAGUUGCGGGUUCGAUUCCCGCUACCCGCU
rnacentral:tRNA from 1 species